CCUACGGGAGGCAGCAGUGAGGAAUAUUGGUCAAUGGACGGAAGUCUGAACCAGCCAUCCCGCGUGCAGGAUGACGGCCCUAUGGGUUGUAAACUGCUUUUCUAUACCAAGAAACGCCAUUACGUGUAAUGGUUUGCCGGUAGUAUAGGAAUAAGCAUCGGCUAACUCCGUGCCAGCAGCCGCGGUAAUACGGAGGAUGCAAGCGUUAUCCGGAUUCAUUGGGUUUAAAGGGUGCGCAGGUUGGAAGGUAAGUCAGUGGUGAAAUUCUGCCGCUUAACGGUAGCACUGCCAUUGAUACUGCUUUUCUUGAAUAUGGUUGAGGUAGGCGGAAUGUGUUGUGUAGCGGUGAAAUGCAUAGAUAUGACACAGAACGCCGAUUGCGAAGGCAGCUUACUAAGCCAUUAUUGACGCUGAGGCACGAAAGCGUGGGGAGCGAACAGGAUUAGAUACCCUGGUAGUCCACGCUGUAAACGAUGUUCACUCGCUGUUUGCGAUACACAGUAAGCGGCUGAGCGAAAGCAUUAAGUGAACCACCUGGGGAGUACGAUCGCAAGGUUGAAACUCAAAGGAAUGACG
rnacentral:rRNA from 1 species